GACGAACGCUGGCGGCGUGCCUAACACAUGCAAGUCGAACGAUGAAGCCGGAGCUUGCUCUGGUGAAUUAGUGGCGAACGGGUGAGUAACACGUGAGUAACCUGCCCUUGACUCUGGGAUAACUGCGGGAAACUGUAGCUAAUACCGGAUACGACCCUCGGAGGCAUCUCCUGGGGGUGGAAAGAAUUUCGGUCAAGGAUGGACUCGCGGCCUAUCAGCUAGUUGGUGAGGUAAAGGCUCACCAAGGCGACGACGGGUAGCCGGCCUGAGAGGGUGACCGGCCACCAUGGGACGGAGACACGGCCCAGACUCCUACGGGAGGCAGCAGUGGGGAAUAUUGCACAAUGGGCGCAAGCCUGAUGCAGCAACGCCGCGUGAGGGAUGACGGCCUUCGGGUUGUAAACCUCUUUUAGCAGGGAAGAAGCGAGAGUGACGGUACCUGCAGAAAAAGCACCGGCUAACUACGUGCCAGCCGCCGCAGUAA
rnacentral:rRNA from 1 species